UACGUAGGGUGCAGGCGUUAAUCGGAAUUACUGGGCGUAAAGCGUGCGCAGGCGGUUUCUUAAGUCAGAUGUGAAAGCCCCGGGCUUAACCUGGGAACUGCGUUUGAAACUGGGAGACUCGAGUGUGGCAGAGGAGGGUGGAAUUCCACGUGUAGCAGUGAAAUGCGUAGAUAUCUGGAGGAAUACCGGUGGCGAAGGCGGCAUCCUGGACCAUUUACUGACGCUGAGGCGCGAAAGCUAGGGGAGCAAACGGG
rnacentral:rRNA from 1 species